GUGGCUGUAGCUCAGUUGGUAGAGCAUCUGGUUGUGGUCCAGAAGGUCGCGGGUUCAAGCCCCGUCAGCCACCCCA
rnacentral:tRNA from 1 species